GAUGGUGAACGGUAUGUUGCCGGAUAAUCUAUUGUCGUUGAGUCUGAGGAUCUCUAGCUGAUGUAAGCUUCCUAGCUCGCAAGGUAAAUGACCGAUGAAACUGUUCCGGCUCAGGUCGAGUCGCUGAAGCAUCUUGCAGUUGGAGAUCUCCGAAGGGAUAGGUCCGGUUAGAGAGUUUGAGGAGACGUUGAACGUGACUAAGUUGGAGAGUUUGCAUUUUGAGGUUAAGUCCGGUUAACUAAGAAUCUAAAUAUCUAAACCGUAAGAGCAUACUUGUUUGAAAUUACCGGUUAUCCCAGAAUCUAAUUGUCUAAACCGUAAGAUCAUUAACGUUUUGAGAUUAACAUCCGUUAAUUCAGAAUCUAAAUGUCUAAACCGCAACAACAUAGCCCCGGUUAACUCAGAAUCUAAAUGUCUAAACCGUAAAAAAAUACCGGUUUUGAGAUUAAACCCGGUUAACUAAUUCUCUAAACCGUAAAACCAAACCGGUUUUGAGAUUAGCCACGGUCAAUUCAGAAUCUAAAUCUCUAAAGCGUAGGAACAAGCCGGUUUUGAGAUUAGUUAACUCAGAAUAUAAAUUUCUAAACGGUAGGAACAUACCGGGAGCAAUGUAACCAUAUGAACCAGCGACGGCUGAGACAGAUUUGGACACUGGCAUGUCAAUGACCUUAGCCAAACCAAAAUCUCCAACAUGAGCUUCAAAGUUCUCAUCAAGCAAAAUGUUAUUAGACUUGAUGUCUCGAUGAAUGAUCCUCGGUUUACAAUCAUGAUGCAAGUAAGCAAGCCCUUCCGCCGCACCGAGCGCGAUCCCAAACCGAGUCGGCCAGUCAAGACCAUACGACUUCCCUCCGUGCAGAAUCUCACCUAAGCUUCCUCGAGACAUGUACUCGUAAAGCAAGAGAUUGGAGUUCGAGCCCUGGUGGUAACAGAAACUGUACAGCCUCACAAUGUUCCUGUGCCUGAUCUUUCCUAGCGUAAGAAUCUCCGCGCGGAAACUGUUAUCCGUAUUGUUAUUAUUACCGCCUUCUCUAUUCGAUCCUAACUUUUUAACCGCGAUGGUUUUACCCGAGGGCAUAACCGCUUUGUACACCGUCCCGCACGCUCCUUUACCUAUAAUGUAGCUUUCGUGGAACCCUUUCGUCGCUUCUAGUAUGUCUUUAACAGUGAACCGUUCUUUCGGGACGAAGUAGAUGUCAGAUUCUUCGAAAAACGGUUCCUUGUCGCGCACGUAAGGAGGCUUUGUAGCCUCCACAGGGUGUUGUCUAAGGAAAUGAACAACGAUAGCUAUGAGGAAAAGAGAUAUGCCACCGACGAUGGAAGACAAGAUGACAAUGAUCCUCCGGCGACGCGCCGAGCCUGAUCUAAGAGGCGAAAGGUUACUCCAAGAAGAGAGGUUAGAGUCGCAGCUUCUCAGAUGCCCGCCGCAGAGUCCUUUAUCUCCGAGGAAGCUAGUUAGAGUCAUGUUUUGAAAGAGCGGCGCGGGCGGAAGCGGUCCGGUCAAGUUGUUGUAGGAGAAGUUGCAGCCUAGUAAGCUCGAUAAGUUCUCGAAAGUAGUCGGUAUCUCGCCGCUCAAGUGGUUGUUGUUGAGAGAAAGGUACAUAAGUAGAUAAAGAUUCCCGAGCUCAGGCGGUAUCUGACCGCUGAAGUCAUUGUAGCUCAAGUUCAUCGCGAUUUGGAGACUUGAUAGUGAGCCUAGCUGAGGCGGUAUGCUUCCCGAAAACAAGUUUCCACCCAUCUGGAGCUCCGUUAGAUGCGUGAGGUUCCCGAUGGUGAACGGUAUGUUGCCGGAUAAUCUAUUGUCGUUGAGUCUGAGGAUCUCUAGCUGAUGUAAGCUUCCUAGCUCGCAAGGUAAAUGACCGAUGAAACUGUUCCGGCUCAGGUCGAGUCGCUGAAGCAUCUUGCAGUUGGAGAUCUCCGAAGGGAUAGGUCCGGUUAGAGAGUUUGAGGAGACGUUGAACGUGACUAAGUUGGAGAGUUUGCUGAUUUCUUUCGGUAGGCUUGAGGAGAACCGGUUAGCUGCGAGGUGAAGCCUUUGAAGCUUCUGGCAAAU
rnacentral:lncRNA from 1 species